rnacentral:rRNA from 1 species
CACGUAGGGGACGAGCGUUGUCCGGAAUCAUUGGGCGUAAAGCGCGCGUAGGCGGCCCGGCAAGUCGGAUGUGAAAUCCCGGGGCUCAACCCCGGGCCUGUAUCCGAUACUCCCGGGCUGGAGGCAGGUAGGGGAGAUCGGAAUUCCUGGUGUAGCGGUGAAAUGCGCAGAUAUCAGGAGGAACACCGGUGGCGAAGGCGGAUCUCUGGGCCUUGCCUGACGCUGAGGCGCGAAAGCGUGGGGAGCAAACAGG